CUUUUCACAAUUAGGGUUUUGCAUUCCCCGUCGCUCUCUAUCGUUCCCUCAUCGCUCCUCCUCUUCCCUCGCUGGUCCCGGCUCUGCUCUUCACGGUUGAUCCUUCUCCCUCGUCACUCUCGUCCCUUCUCCUUUCUCCCUUGGCGCUCAAGUCGUUCCUCCCUUGGUUGCUCGAAAAGUUAUAUGAGAACGCCAUGUUUACUGCGGAAGAGCAACAUGGAGGAGGCAUUGAACAAGAAGUCGUUGAAGUACAAUGGGGGGCUUCUCAAGACAAUGGAUAUAUGGCUAAUCUGCGGGAUCAGAUUGCGACUCAACUGUUUUCAAAUGCUUCAAAUUAAUUUGUAUUGUCUAGGAUGAAAAACAAACAAUUUCUUUUGUUAUUAACGUUUCAUAUCCCGUUUGUAUUUAAGUAUGAACGAUUAUUAAUAUAUUUUUCUAUUUAAUUUGAAGUAUGAAAA